rnacentral:rRNA from 1 species
AUACGUAGGGGGCGAGCGUUGUCCGGAAUGAUUGGGCGUAAAGGGCGCGUAGGCGGCCCGGUAAGUCUGGAGUGAAAGUCCUGUUUUUAAGAUGGGAAUUGCUUUGGAUACUGUCGGGCUUGAGUGCAGGAGAGGUAAGUGGAAUUCCCAGUGUAGCGGUGAAAUGCGUAGAGAUUGGGAGGAACACCAGUGGCGAAGGCGACUUACUGGACUGUAACUGACGCUGAGGCGCGAAAGUGUGGGGAGCAAACAGGAUUAGAUACCCUGGUAGUCCACACUGUAAACGAUGAAUGCUAGGUGUAGGGGGUAUCGACCCCUUUUGUGCCGGAGUCAACACAAUAAGCAUUCCGCCUGGGGAGUACGGCCGCAAGGUUGAAACUUAAAGGAAUUGACGGGG